CCUACGGGAGGCAGCAGUGAGGAAUAUUGGUCAAUGGGCGUAAGCCUGAACCAGCCAAGUCGCGUGAGGGAUGAAGGUUCUAUGGAUCGUAAACCUCUUUUAUAAGGGAAUAAAGUGCGGGACGUGUCCCGUUUUGUAUGUACCUUAUGAAUAAGGAUCGGCUAACGUCGUGCCAGCAGCCGCGGUAAUACGGAGGAUCCGCGCGUUAUCCGGAUUUAUUGGGUUUAAAGGGUGCGUAGGCGGCCUUUUAAGUCAGCGGUGAAAGUCUGUGGCUCAACCAUAGAAUUGCCGUUGAAACUGGUAGGCUUGAGUAUGUUUGAGGCAGGCGGAAUGCGUGGUGUAGCGGUGAAAUGCUUAGAUAUCACGCAGAACGCCGAUGGCGAAGGCAGCCGGCCAAGCCAUGACUGACGCUGAGGCACGAAAGCGUGGGGAUCAAACAGGAUUAGAUACCCGGGUAGUC
rnacentral:rRNA from 1 species